GUGGGGAAUUUUGGACAAUGGGCGCAAGCCUGAUCCAGCAAUGCCGCGUGCAGGAAGAAGGCCUUCGGGUUGUAAACUGCUUUUGUACGGAACGAAACGUUCCUGGUUAAUACCCGGGGCUAAUGACGGUACCGUAAGAAUAAGCACCGGCUAACUACGUGCCAGCAGCCGCGGUAAUACGUAGGGUGCAAGCGUUAAUCGGAAUUACUGGGCGUAAAGCGUGCGCAGGCGGUGCUGUAAGACAGGCGUGAAAUCCCCGGGCUUAACCUGGGAAUUGCGCUUGUGACUGCAGUGCUGGAGUGCGGCAGAGGGGGAUGGAAUUCCGCGUGUAGCAGUGAAAUGCGUAGAUAUGCGGAGGAACACCGAUGGCGAAGGCAAUCCCCUGGGCCUGCACUGACGCUCAUGCACGAAAGCGUGGGGAGCAAACAGGAUUAGAUACCCUGGUAGUCC
rnacentral:rRNA from 1 species